rnacentral:misc_RNA from 1 species
GUUCUUCAAGUUCCUGCAACAACUGGUCAGAUAUGCAAGAGCAGAAUCACUGAAGGCCGAGCAUCCGCUGAUGUUAAGUUUCAUAAGGUUGGGGCAUCCAUGGGCUAAUGCAUACAAGGAAGAAUCACUGAGCCUAAGGCUUUUGCAAAGAUCUAAAUCCAAUAGAUCAUGACAGUAAUUUGCAAUUGCCUCGACAGCAUUGUCCUCAAGUUGAGGUCUAUUU